GUGGGGAAUAUUGGACAAUGGGGGGAACCCUGAUCCAGCCAUGCCGCGUGUGUGAAGAAGGCCUUUUGGUUGUAAAGCACUUUAAGCGAGGAGGAGGCUACCGAGAUUAAUACUCUUGGAUAGUGGACGUUACUCGCAGAAUAAGCACCGGCUAACUCUGUGCCAGCAGCCGCGGUAAUACAGAGGGUGCAAGCGUUAAUCGGAUUUACUGGGCGUAAAGCGCGCGUAGGUGGCCAAUUAAGUCAAAUGUGAAAUCCCCGAGCUUAACUUGGGAAUUGCAUUCGAUACUGGUUGGCUAGAGUAUGGGAGAGGAUGGUAGAAUUCCAGGUAUAGCGGUGAAAUGCGUAGAGAUCUGGAGGAAUACCGAUGGCGAAGGCAGCCAUCUGGCCUAAUACUGACACUGAGGUGCGAAAGCAUGGGGAGCAAACAGGAUUAGAUACCCGAGUAGUCC
rnacentral:rRNA from 1 species